CGGAGGGGCGUAGCGUUGUUCGGAAUUACUGGGCGUAAAGACGCACGUAGGCGGAUCGGAAAGUACAGAGGUGAAAUACCCAGGGCUCAACCUUGGAACUGCCUUUGAAACUACCUGGUCUUGAGUUCGAGAGAGGUGAGUGGAAUUCCGAGUGUAGAGGUGAAAUUACGUAGAUAUUCGGAGGAACACCAGUGGCGAAGGCGGCUCACUGGCUCGAUACUGACGCUGAGGUGCGAAAAGCGUGGGGGAGCAAACAGGAUU
rnacentral:rRNA from 1 species